rnacentral:rRNA from 1 species
AACGAACGCUGGCGGCAUGCCUAACACAUGCAAGUCGAACGAGACCUUCGGGUCUAGUGGCGCACGGGUGCGUAACGCGUGGGAACCUGCCCUUAGGUUCGGAAUAACUCCCCGAAAGGGGUGCUAAUACCGGAUAAUGUCUUCGGACCAAAGAUUUAUCGCCUUUGGAUGGGCCCGCGUUGGAUUAGCUAGUUGGUAGGGUAAAAGCCUACCAAGGCGACGAUCCAUAGCUGGUCUGAGAGGAUGAUCAGCCACACUGGGACUGAGACACGGCCCAGACUCCUCCGGGGGGCCGCAGUGGGGAAUAUUGGACACUGGGCGAAACCCUGCCCCAGCAAUGCCGCGUGGGUGAUGAAGGCCUUAGGGUUGUAAAGCUCUUUUCCCCGGGAUGAUAAUGACAGUCCCGGGAGAAUAAGCCCCGGCUAACCCCGU